AGUAUUUCAAGCUGACUUCAAGCAACAAUAUGGCCGGCUGCCGGUUAUUUAGGCUUGACAAGUAAAAACUAUACAGCCGGCUGCCGGCUGUCUAGCCACUUCGUUAUUUAUUAUUAUAGAGAAGCCAAAUGAAUUCUACUUUUAAUACUGCGAUGAUCUCUUUAGCAAUCUGGGUCAAAGAAAAUAUCAUUGCAAUAAUAGUUUUCACCAAGAUUGAAUGAAGGCCUCAAAUUUGGCAAAUUAAGGGGAAACUUUAAUUCUAAUGAUAUGACAAGGAAAUAUCCCUUCCUUGCUGACUCAAUUGUGGUUGUGGAACAGGUUCAUGGACCAUAACAAGGCCAAGGGUAGAAACAAUUUUAGAAGAAUAUCCUGCACUUCAGCUUAUUACAGAGGUUGUUGAUUCCAUAGAUCAGGACCCAAGGCUAAUUCGUUCAGAAGACCUUUCAGAUGUUCAAACUUUGAUGAUUGCGGUGGAGGGGCAAAUGUUAACUUAUCAAAGAACAGACUCAACUUCAUUUUAUCUACUAAACAUGGA